rnacentral:rRNA from 1 species
AAUAGAUACCCGGGUAGUCCACGCCGUAAACGAUGAGUGCUAAGUGUUGGGGGGUUUCCGCCCCUCAGUGCUGCAGCUAACGCAUUAAGCACUCCGCCUGGGGAGUACGGUCGCAAGACUGAAACUCAAAGGAAUUGACGGGGGCCCGCACAAGCGGUGGAGCAUGUGGUUUAAUUCGAAGCAACGCGAGGAACCUUACCAGGUCUUGACAUCCCGGUGACCACUAUGGAGACAUAGUUUCCCCUUCGGGGGCAACGGUGACAGGUGGUGCAUGGUUGUCGUCAGCUCGUGUCGUGAGAUGUUGGGUUAAGUCCCGCAACGAGCGCAACCCUUAUUCUUAGUUGCCAUCAUUCAGUUGGGCACUCUAAGGAGACUGCCGGUGAUAAACCGGAGGAAGGUGGGGAUGACGUCAAAUCAUCAUGCCCCUUAUGACCUGGGCUACACACGUGCUACAAUGGACGGUACAAACGGUUGCCAACCCGCGAAGGGGAGCUAAGUCCGAUAAAACCGUUCUCAGUUCGGAUUGUAGGCUGCAACUCGCCUACAUGGAACG